CCUGACUCUUCCAUCUCCAUCCUUCAUGCUUAAAGGAUCCUGGUGAUUACAUUGGACCCUCCCAUACAAUCUAGGAUACAUUUUUAACCUUAAGGUCUUCGAGGGAUCACCACACUGUCUUCCACAAUGGUUGAACUAAUUUACACCCCCACCAAUAACGCUACCAUUGAAUUUAAUUCUGAUGCUGUCUUCAACAUGGAAGUUGCAUAAGAAAAUUUGAAGCCAUUGUGUAUUUCAGCUAGGCUUCUUAGGAAAUAGAGGUCAGCCUAGUGCAGUGAAGUCUGAUUGGAGGUGGACAAUGAGGAUCCUGCCAAGGUGCUGUCCUUAGCUUCUGUUCAGCCUAAUGUAAGUUCAUACCUUUUGAUUACAGUCAUUUCAAUGACUUUUUUUGCCCAUAAAAUUAUGACCACAUAA
rnacentral:lncRNA from 1 species